GCACUGUUCACAAGUAAUCAUUUAUUUCUAAUCUCUAUUCGUGGGAUUUGGAGAAAAAUAAGUAGCACUACACGAAGAACACUAACGCACACCUCAAUCGUACAGCACGUUGAUGAUGCCCGCCCCUUCACAGCAAUUACGUAUUACCAUAACACAAAUAGAAUACUUAGUAAGUAUACUAAACAAGGGAAAUAUAAAAUGGCCCUCAGGAGAGGUACUAAUAUGUUUAACAUGCUACGAAAUGAUAAAAGCAAAAUCCCAGAGACCAAGAAGUCAGGAGUGUAUACCAUCCCCCUGUAUAACCUGGAUGACAAUGAACAACAAUACUAUAUAGGAAGCACAAGCC
rnacentral:lncRNA from 1 species